rnacentral:rRNA from 1 species
UACAGAGGUCCCAAGCGUUGUUCGGAUUCACUGGGCGUAAAGGGUGCGUAGGUGGCGAGGUAAGUCGGAUGUGAAAGCUCGGAGCUCAACUCCGAAAUGGCAUUGGAAACUACCUUGCUCGAGGACUGGAGAGGAGACUGGAAUUUACGGUGUAGCGGUGAAAUGCGUAGAUAUCGUAAGGAAGACCAGUGGCGAAGGCGGGUCUCUGGACAGUUCCUGACGCUGAGGCACGAAGGCCAGGGGAGCAAACGGG